rnacentral:rRNA from 1 species
UUAAUGACAAUAGUGCUGUGGUUCUACCUGAAUCCAUUCCGAACUCAGAAGUAAAACGCAGUAACGCCGAUGGUAGUGUGGGGGUUCCCCAUGUGAGAGUAGGUCAUCAUU